UUAGCUAGGGGAGCCAUUUGGCUGAGAGGAUAAACCCGACCCUUAUACCUGAUCUGGAUAAUGCCAGCGUAGGAAAGCACAA
rnacentral:ncRNA from 1 species